CGAAGUUAAAAAAGGAUGUAAGGGCCGAACCACCUUUUGCAAGAUGAUCGGCUAGUACAUUAGCCUCACAAAAAACAUGUACAAAUAAAGUAUCAAGAGUCCUAUACAAAUCCCAGAUCUGCAGCAAGGUGGACCUAAGCUCCCAGGGGGGCUUAUGAGUUCCAUUACACCAGUUAAUAACAUUCAGUGAAUCCCCCUCCACAAUACAGAACCGGCCCAUAAAAAAGUAGCCCAACGAAUUCCGUAUAGUUCGUCAUUUUGUCCCCAAGGGACCCUGCAUAAGAAAACAGCACCGUACCAUUCCAAUCUCUUAGAACACCUUCAAUGCCAACCAGACCAAGAUUUCUAGAAGAACUUCCGUCAAAAUUAAGUUUAAAAGUUCCCUCCAAGGGGGGCACCUAUCUACCCUUCGGCCUACUUUUGAAGACAUCUAGACGGAAGAGGAUUGAUAAGUUUCUCUUGAAAUCAACUUCCAACAUAUCGGACUGAUCCUUCGACACAUAGCAGAAGAGCCACAGCCCACGAAGAAUAUUGUCCAACACCUUUGCAAAAGGUCGGUUGACACCAUCGAAUACCCUACGGUUCCUUUCCUUCCAAACUUCCCAUAGUAUUAGGCCUCUCGCCAUCUGCCAUAAGAUCAAGCCAGCCUUAGGCAGGGGAGCCAACAAAUUUGAGAUGAUCCCAAGAACUUCAGCGGGCAUCACCAUGGCAAGACCAAGUUCAUCAAAAAACCAGCGCCAAAUUCUAAAAGUGAAAGGGCAAUGAAGAAAGAGGUACGGCCCUAUUUCAACAUCCAGUUUUCACAGUAGGCACACAUUAGGCAACACCUUACCUCUCUUGAUAAGAUUGUCAACAGUGAGA
rnacentral:lncRNA from 1 species